rnacentral:RNase_P_RNA from 1 species
CAAGCUGGCCGGGCGGUCGCGGACGGACUUCGCCAGAGAGGUGGAGCCUGUCCGAGGAAAGUCCGAGCUCCACAGAGCACGGGGCUGGGUAACACCCAGGCGGGGCGACCCGACGGAUAGCGCCACAGAGACAUACCGCCGUGGCCGGGGCUAGUGCUCGGGCCACGGCAAGGGUGAAAAGGCGGUGUAAGAGACCACCGGCGCGCCGGGCAACCGGUGCGGCCAGGCAAGCCCCUCCGGGAGCAAGACCAAGCGUGGGCCAGGCUGUGUCCGCAAGGGCACGGCACAGAGGCUGCUCGUCUCUCGAGCCCCAGGUAGGUCGCUAGAGCUGGCGGGUAACUGCCGGCCAGUGCCAGCGGGCAACCGCUGGCCCAGAUAGAUGACCGCCACGUCGCUCCCAAGCGACGGACAGAACUCGGCUUACAGGCUGGCUUGAUGC